CGAAGGGGGCUAGCGUUGCUCGGAAUCACUGGGCGUAAAGCGCACGUAGGCGGACUCUUAAGUCGGUGGUGAAAUCCUGGAGCUCAACUCCAGAACUGCCUUCGAUACUGGGAGUCUCGAGUUCGGGAGAGGUGAGUGGAACUGCGAGUGUAGAGGUGAAAUUCGUAGAUAUUCGCAAGAACACCAGUGGCGAAGGCGGCUCACUGGCCCGAUACUGACGCUGAGGUGCGAAAGCGUGGGGAGCAAACAGGAUUAGAUACCCCGGUAGUCCACGCCGUAAACGAUGAAUGCUAGCCGUUGGUGGGUUUACCCUUCAGUGGCGCAGCUAACGCUUUAAGCAUUCCGCCUGGGGAGUACGGUCGCAAGAUUA
rnacentral:rRNA from 1 species